rnacentral:tRNA from 1 species
GGAGGGGUCGGAUAACGGCUAUUCCAGCACUCUUGAAAAGUGCCGUCCGUAAGGACAUGCGAGUUCGAAUCUCGCCCCCUCCG